rnacentral:rRNA from 1 species
AGCGAACGCUGGCGGCAGGCUUAACACAUGCAAGUCGAACGGGCACUUCGGUGCUAGUGGCAGACGGGUGAGUAACGCGUGGGAACGUGCCUUUCGGUUCGGAAUAAUCCAGGGAAACUUGGACUAAUACCGGAUACGCCCUUCGGGGGAAAGAUUUAUCGCCGAAAAAUCGGCCCGCGUCUGAUUAGCUAGUUGGUGAGGUAAAGGCUCACCAAGGCGACGAUCAGUAGCUGGUCUGAGAGGAUGAUCAGCCACACUGGGACUGAGACACGGCCCAGACUCCUACGGGAGGCAGCAGUGGGGAAUAUUGGACAAUGGGCGAAAGCCUGAUCCAGCCAUGCCGCGUGAGUGAUGAAGGCCUUAGGGUUGUAAAGCUCUUUUGUCCGGGAAGAUAAUGACUGUACCGGAAGAAUAAGCCCCGGCUAACUUCGUGCCAGCCGCCGCGGUAAUAC